rnacentral:rRNA from 1 species
GAUGAACGCUAGCUACAGGCUUAACACAUGCAAGUCGCGGGGUAACAUCUGGGAGAGCUUGCUCUUCCAGGAUGACGACCGGCGCACGGGUGAGUAACGCGUAUCCAACCUGGCCCAUACCACGGGAUAGCCCGUCGAAAGGCGGAUUAAUACCGUAUGCUGUCAUUAAGAUGCAUAUAUUGAUGACGAAAGGACUGGCGGUAUGGGAUGGGGAUGCGUCUGAUUAGCUUGUUGGCGGGGUAACGGCCCACCAAGGCGACGAUCAGUAGGGUUCUGAGAGGAAGGUCCCCCACAUUGGAACUGAGACACGGUCCAAACUCCUACGGGAGGCAGCAGUGAGGAAUAUUGGUCAAUGGGCGAGAGCUGACCGGCCGAACGUAGCGUGCGAGGAGUAGACGGCCCGUACGU